GGGACCUUGGCGCAGUUGGCUAGCGCGCAGGUCUCAUAUACCUAUAUGAUCUGGUUAUAAAACCAGAGUAAUCCUGAGGUCGGGAGUUCGAGCCUCCCAGGUCCCA
rfam:Neurospora tetrasperma FGSC 2509 unplaced genomic scaffold NETTE2scaffold_2, whole genome shotgun sequence.